UACGUAGGGUGCAAGCGUUAAUCGGAAUUACUGGGCGUAAAGCGUGCGCAGGCGGUCUCGUAAGUCUGUCGUGAAAUCCCCGGGCUUAACCUGGGAAUGGCGAUGGAGACUGCGAGGCUAGAGUUUGGCAGAGGGGGGUAGAAUUCCACGUGUAGCAGUGAAAUGCGUAGAGAUGUGGAGGAACACCGAUGGCGAAGGCAGCCCCCUGGGCCAAAACUGACGCUCAUGCACGAAAGCGUGGGGAGCAAACAGG
rnacentral:rRNA from 1 species